rnacentral:tRNA from 1 species
CGGCGUGUGGGAAAGCCUGGCCAAUCCGUCGCGUUCGGGACGCGAAGACCGGCGGUUCAAAUCCGCCCACGCCGACCA